rnacentral:misc_RNA from 1 species
AAGUCGUAACAAGGUUUCCGUAGGUGAACCUGCGGAAGGAUCAUUACUGAGAUAGGGUCCUUCGGGGCCCGACCUCCAACCCUUUGUCUACCUUACCACUGUUGCCUCGGCGGGUCGCCGGCGUCUCUUGCGGGACGCCGCCGUCGGCCUCUGCGCUCUCGAGUGCCCGCCGCCAGGCCCUUCUAAACCCUUUUUAAACAUAGCAAUCUGAGAGUAUAUUUAAUACUUCAAAACUUUCAACAACGGAUCUCUUGGUUCUG